AACAAUCUUUUCUCCAACAGAUUCAUCUUUAAUACCACCUGGCAUAAGCAGACGUAGACAAACAUCAUCUGCUCCCAUUCCAGGUGGACGCUCCUCAUCUGGGCUCCACUCCCCACGGUGCGAUCCUGCAAUUGGAGGGGAAAUGUUUAGUGGGGAGGAAAGUGAGAGAGGGUCACAUGUAGGUGGCAGCAAUGUGGCCUUAUUCUCAGAUGAGGAGCCGACCAACAUUCCCCAGCAGCAGUAGCAGCUCCCAACCCAGGCCAGAGGAGAUAACAUGGCCCCCCAGGAACCUGAGAAAGAUAGGUUCCACAAAUCCCUAAUUAGGCAUCACAAAGCCUUGAUGCGCAAAUUAGAUCUGACUUGUGUGAGGCCACUAACGCCUAGAAUGCUAGUCAGGCACGGCAAGCCGCACAUGAGUUGGCCAUGCUUAGCCUCAAGCAGGACAGCGAGGCACGCAAAGCACAACACGAGGCUGCCAUGUUGAGCCUGCAAGAGGAGCGGGUAGAGCUCAAAAGGCAAAAACUGGAUUUGUUGGCUCAACAAAAUUUAGUCCUCCAGCAACAAAUUGCCACCCUACAACAACAGGCACAGAGCCAACAAGCUCUACCAGUGGAGUGACUGGUGAGAGCAUAACUCCCGCCCCUGCAGGUUAUAC